GACGAACGCUGGCGGCGUGCCUAAUACAUGCAAGUAGAACGCUGAAGGAGGAGCUUGCUCUUCUGGAUGAGUUGCGAACGGGUGAGUAACGCGUAGGUAACCUGCCUGGUAGCGGGGGAUAACUAUUGGAAACGAUAGCUAAUACCGCAUAACAGUAGAUGUUGCAUGACAUUUACUUAAAAGGUGCAAUUGCAUCACUACCAGAUGGACCUGCGUUGUAUUAGCUAGUUGGUGGGGUAACGGCUCACCAAGGCGACGAUACAUAGCCGACCUGAGAGGGUGAUCGGCCAAACUGGGACUGAGACACGGCCCAGACUCCUACGGGAGGCAGCAGUAGGGAAUCUUCGGCAAUGGACGGAAGUCUGACCGAGCAACGCCGCGUGAGUGAAGAAGGUUUUCGGAUCGUAAAGCUCUGUUGUAAGAGAAGAACGAGUGUGAGAGUGGAAAGUUCACACUGUGACGGUAUCUUACCAGAAAGGGACGGCUAACUACGUG
rnacentral:rRNA from 1 species